ACGAGCGCUGGCGGCGUGCUUAACACAUGCAAGUCGAACGGAAAGGCCCUGCUUUUGUGGGGUGCUCGAGUGGCGAACGGGUGAGUAACACGUGAGUAACCUGCCCUUGACUUUGGGAUAACUUCAGGAAACUGGGGCUAAUACCGGAUAGGAGCUCCUGCUGCAUGGUGGGGGUUGGAAAGUUUCGGCGGUUGGGGAUGGACUCGCGGCUUAUCAGCUUGUUGGUGGGGUAGUGGCUUACCAAGGCUUUGACGGGUAGCCGGCCUGAGAGGGUGACCGGCCACAUUGGGACUGAGAUACGGCCCAGACUCCUACGGGAGGCAGCAGUGGGGAAUAUUGCACAAUGGGCGGAAGCCUGAUGCAGCAACGCCGCGUGCGGGAUGACGGCCUUCGGGUUGUAAACCGCUUUCGCCUGUGACGAAGCGUGAGUGACGGUAAUGGGUAAAGAAGCACCGGCUAACUACGU
rnacentral:rRNA from 1 species